CCAGCUCCGAGGGCCGCAGAAGCGGGCCUGCAGGCGCAGGGGCGGGUGGCCUGAGUGUCAGGGGCGGUGGGUCCCGGAGAUGACUCGGACGCCACCACCGGCGGCCUGGCGCAAGCGUGGGGCCGCUGCCUUCCCGGCUCUCAUCUCCCCCGGGCCCAAGGGUUCCAGGCCCCGGCCCCGCCCUCCAGCUGCGAAUCUUGGGGGCGUGCGGGGUGGCGGGUGGCGGAUGUGGACUCUACGGAUCCUUUCGAGCGUGGAUCCAACAGUCUGUCUCUUUGGUGCUACGCGGCCCUUGGAUGACCCUGUGGCUGAGGAUGUGUUGAGAAGUGCAGAGGAUAGAAGGAAUCAGAGACCAGUUUGGCCACUGCAGUGAUGCAGGCAAGAUAGAAUGGUGACUUGGACCAUGAUGGAAGUAGUGAGGUCAUGGAAGUUUCUGGCCUGAGCAAUUAGAAGGGCAUGUGCUGAACUCAGUUUGAUACAUGACGGAAAAUAAUGAGUCCCCUGUGACGAUGUCACCACCCGGCGGAGAACAGGGACUUCUCC